rnacentral:misc_RNA from 1 species
AAGUCGUAACAAGGUUUCCGUAGGUGAACCUGCGGAAGGAUCAUUAACAAGUCCGUUGUGCGUGCAGAAGCAAUUUUGCAUGCGCACAUCUGUUCCAUGCACAUUCAUUUGUGCAUGACAUUUCUGCGAAUCGUCUGAUUGUCAUUCGACUAAUUCAUAUAUAA